rnacentral:rRNA from 1 species
AGAGUUUGAUCCUGGCUCAGAACGAACGCUGGCGGCAUGCUUGACACAUGCAAGUUGAACGAAAGGUGCUUGCACCUUUAGUGGCAAACGGGUGAGUAACGCGUGGGAAUUUGCCUUUUGGUGGGGAAUAACUGUGGGAAACUACAGCUAAUACCGCAUAAGCUCGGAAACGAGGAAAGAUUUAUCGCCAAAAGAGAAGCCCGCGUCAGAUUAGAUAGUUGGUAAGGUAAUGGCUUACCAAGUCUGUGAUCUGUAGUUGGUCUAAGAGGAUGAUCAGCCACACUGGGAUUGAGAUACGGCCCAGACUCCUACGGGAGGCAGCAGUGAGGAAUAUUGGACAAUGGGGGAAACCCUGAUCCAGCAAUGCCGCGUGAAUGAAGAAGGCCUUCGGGUUGUAAAGUUCUUUCACUCGUGAAGAUGAUGACGGUAGCGAGAGAAGAAGCUCCGGCUAACUCUGUGCCAGCAGCCGCGGUAAGACAGAGGGAGCUAGCGUUGUUCGGAAUUACUGGGCGUAAAGGGUGCGUAGGCGGUUGUCUAAGUAAAGUGUUAAAGCCCUGGGCUCAACCCAGGAAUCGCAUUUUAAACUGGGCAACUAGAGUAUGGUAGAGGAAAGUGGAAUUCCUAGUGUAGAGGUGGAAUUCGUAGAUAUUAGGAGGAACACCAGAGGCGAAGGCGGCUUUCUGGACCAUAACUGACGCUGAGGCACGAAAGCGUGGGGAGCAAACAGGAUUAGAUACCCUGGUAGUCCACGCCCUAAACGAUGAGUGCUAGACGUUGGGAUUUUAUUCUCAGUGUCGUAGCUAACGCGUGAAGCACUCCGCCUGAGGACUACGGUCGCAAGAUUAAAACUUAAAGGAAUUGACGGGGGCCCGCACAAGCGGUGGAGCAUGUGGUUUAAUUCGAAGAUACGCGAAAAACCUUACCAGUUCUUGACAUGCGGAUCGAGAGCUUCGCAAAAGAAGCUCGUCAGCUCGGCUGGAUCCUGCACAGGUGCUGCAUGGCUGUCGUCAGCUCGUGUCGUGAGAUGUUGGGUUAAGUCCCGCAACGAGCGCAACCCUUGUCCUUAGUUGCUAACAGGUUAUGCUGAGAACUUUAAGGAGACUGCCGGUGAUAAACCGGAGGAAGGCGGGGAUGACGUCAAGUCCUCAUGGCCCUUAUGGACUGGGCUACACACGUGCUACAAUGGCGAUGACAGAGGGACGCAAAGGGGUGACCCGGAGCUAAUCCUUAAAAAUCGUCCCAGUUCGGAUUGUUCUCUGCAACUCGAGAGCAUGAAGUUGAAAUCGCUAGUAAUCGUAGAUCAGCAUGCUACGGUGAAUACGUUCACGGGCCUUGUACACACCGCCCGUCAGGCCAUGGGAGUUGGUUCUGCUUGAAGCCGGUUUGCUAACCUUUUGGAGGCAGCCGUCUAUAGUGGGGUCGAUGACUGAGGUUAAGUCGUAACAAGGUA